rnacentral:rRNA from 1 species
GACGGAGGAUGCAAGCGUUAUCCGGAAUUAUUGGGCGUAAAGAGUACGUAGGCGGCUCUGUAAGUCCGGGGUUAAAGCCCACAGCUUAACUGUGGAGGGGCCUUGGAAACUGCAAAGCUAGAGGGUGGUAGGGGUAGAGGGAAUUCCCAGUGUAGCGGUGAAAUGCGUAGAUAUUGGGAAGAACACCAGUGGCGAAAGCGCUCUACUGGACCACACCUGACGCUGAGGUACGAAAGCUAGGGUAGCGAAUGGG